rnacentral:rRNA from 1 species
AUAUGCCUUAUGGUGGGGGACAACAGUUGGAAACGACUGCUAAUACCGCAUAAUGUCUACGGACCAAAGGGGGGGAUCUUCGGACCUCUCGCCAUUUGAUUAGCCCAAGUGAGAUUAGCUAGUUGGUAAGGUAAUGGCUUACCAAGGCGACGAUCUCUAGCUGGUUUGAGAGGAUGAUCAGCCACACUGGGACUGAGACACGGCCCAGACUCCUACGGGAGGCAGCAGUGGGGAAUAUUGCACAAUGGGCGCAAGCCUGAUGCAGCCAUGCCGCGUGUGUGAAGAAGGCCUUCGGGUUGUAAAGCACUUUCAGUAAGGAGGAAAGGGUGUAGUUUAAUAAACUAUAUCUGUGACGUUACUUACAGAAGAAGCACCGGCUAACUUCGUGCCAGCAGCCGCGGUAAUACGAGGGGUGCAAGCGUUAAUCGGAAUUACUGGGCGUAAAGCGUUCGUAGGCGGUUGAAUAAGCAAGAUGUGAAAGCCCAGGGCUCAACCUUGGAACUGCAUUUUGAACUGUUCGACUAGAGUACUGUAGAGGGUGGUGGAAUUUCCAGUGUAGCGGUGAAAUGCGUAGAGAUUGGAAGGAACAUCAGUGGCGAAGGCGGCCACCUGGACAGAUACUGACGCUGAGGAACGAAAGCGUGGGGAGCGAACAG